rnacentral:rRNA from 1 species
AUGCAUGACUUUGCUGUUAGAGUUGUAACUAGAGGAGGUAAAAUGACUCAGGAACCACUUUAUCCUCAGGGACACCCUAAAAUAAUUGAACAAGAUUCACAAAGAGCUAACACUAGUGCACCUUGUUCUUCUAAAAAGAAAAAGAAAUAUGAUAGGACUUCACAUGCUCCUAGUGAACCUGAAAUAGAGAAACCUCCUGACAUAGAUAAUGAAGCUUCUAUCUCUGAUGCUGAAACUCAAUCUGGUAAUGAACACUCACCUAAUGAUAAUGAAAAAGAUAAUGAUGAGGUUCAUGAUGACUCUCAACCAAACAAUUGA